AGGCCUGUUAAACAAACCCCGCCGUCGAGCGUCGUUGGAGGAUAUUCCGGCAACGAUCUCCCGCAUGUCCUUGCUGCAAAUCGAUACCAUCAAUAUUGUUGCCCGUAGUCCAUAUCUGGUGCUUUUCAGUCGUCUGGGAAAUUAUCCUGCCCAGUGGCUGGAUGAGUCUCUGGCGCGUGGCGAAUUAAUGGAAUACUGGGCGCAUGAAGCCUGCUUUAUGCCGCGUAGCGACUUUCGUCUUAUUCGCCACCGCAUGCUGGCACCUGAAAAAAUGGGCUGGAAAUACAAAGACGCCUGGAUGCAGGAACAUGAGGCGGAAAUUGCACAGUUAAUUCAGCAUAUUCAUGAUAAGGGGCCGGUACGUUCAGCCGAUUUUGAGCAUCCUCGUAAAGGUGCAAGCGGCUGGUGGGAAUGGAAGCCGCAUAAACGGCAUCUGGAAGGUUUAUUUACUGCCGGAAAGGUGAUGGUGAUUGAACGGCGCAACUUCCAGCGCGUUUAUGAUUUAACCCACCGUGUCAUGCCUGACUGGGAUGAUGAGCGCGAUCUCGUUUCGCAACAGAAGCAGAAAUCAUCAUGCUGG
rnacentral:rRNA from 1 species